AUGUUUUAAAAUAUUUAAUGAAAUACGAAAUCAAUUGCACACUGUACAUCUACAAUCGAAAGUGUCGAGUAAGCGAUGUCUAAUGCCUGACCAUGUCUAUGUUAAACCUAUUUCAUUGAAGCUAGUGCAUCUAUCUGUGCUUGCAGUGCUUUACUUUAGUUUCUAAAAUAUUCUAUCGUCUGUAUUCUAAAAGCUCACUCACACUCAAUGAGUGGAGGUUCAAUCUGAAUAUAGUAGUCUGACCAUGUCAUUCUAUGCCCGUUUAUCUAGUAUUAAAGUUUAGAUAAUCUUAUUUUAUGAAGCGAGUGCCUGUCUGCUGUGCUCGCUAAAUCAGUUUCAGUUCUUAUGGCUUAAUUUCAGUUUGUGGUGUCAUCGCUAUAUAUCCACCACUUGCCCCUGGUGGAUACACUGUCCCUUGAGGUUGAUAUUCUGGUGGGGGUUGGUUGGGAUUUGCUUGAGGGUUUUGAAAAUACAUUGGCUGUCCUUCUUGUGCAGGGUAUUGUUGUUGCUGUUGUUGUUGCUGGGUUGCAAAGACUGUAGUUCCUGUGGUUGUAGGUUGUGUUACUACAACACCACCAUGAGCAGGACGUCUC